GAAAUGCGAUAAGUAAUGUGAAUUGCAGAAUUCAGUGAAUCAUCGAAUCUUUGAACGCAUCUUGCGCUCCUUGGUAUUCCGAGGAGCAUGCCUGUUUGAGUGUCAUUUAAAUCCUCAAAACCACUUGACGUGGCUUUGGAUGUGGGGGGCUUUUUGUUUGCAGGCUUUCUUCUCAAGUCUGCUCCCCUGAAAUGCAUUAGUGGUAUCUGGAGCGGAAACUGCUAGGUGGUGAUAAUCAAUCGUCUACGCCUUUGGCAUGCCGCAUGAGACAGAUUGUGCUGCUUCCAACGUGCACUUUUUGACAAACUUGACCUCAAAUCAGGUAGGACUACCCGCUGAACUUAA
rnacentral:misc_RNA from 1 species